GUCAGGAUGGCCGAGUGGUCUAAGGCGCCAGACUCAAGCUCAAACAAGCUUCCUCUGAUAGAGGUUUCUGGUCCCCGAAUGGGGGCGUGGGUUCGAAUCCCACUUCUGACA
rnacentral:tRNA from 1 species